GCUACCCUGGGAAUCCUUUCUCCUCCUCUUUCUCUCGACAGGAUAAGCUCUGUUCGGAAGAGCGAAUGAAGUUCGACGGUUAGAAUUGGGCUGUAUCACUCCCUCGCGUCUUCAUUUUCGGCCCCGCCUCUCGGGCUCCUUGCCGCGAGCAGCCCCUCUUCUUCGUCCAGUGGUUUAGGUGGGAGGUUGUCGGCUGUGUCUUUCUCCAGCGAGCACUGAAGGGAUUCCUCCUCCUUUUUUUCCCCUCCCUCAGCCGUGCGCGCGCCUGCCAACGCUUCUGGGAUAACGAUGCAGUUUAUGUUGCUUUUUAGUCGCCAGGGAAAACUGAGACUUCAAAAAUGGUAUGUCCCGUUAUCUGACAAAGAAAAGAAGAAAAUUACAAGAGAACUUGUUCAAACAGUCUUAGCCCGAAAACCGAAAAUGUGCAGCUUCUUGGAAUGGAGAGAUCUGAAGAUUGUCUACAAAAGAUAUGCAAGCCUCUAUUUCUGCUGUGCCAUUGAAGAUCAGGAUAAUGAGUUAAUAACCUUGGAAAUAAUUCAUCGUUAUGUAGAAUUACUUGAUAAAUAUUUUGGAAGUGUCUGUGAACUUGAUAUCAUCUUUAAUUUUGAGAAGGCUUAUUUUAUUUUGGAUGAAUUCCUCUUGGGAGGAGAAGUUCAAGAGACCUCCAAGAAAAAUGUUCUUAAAGCCAUUGAACAGGCAGAUCUAUUACAAGAGAGCCAGAAUGAAGACUGGGGAGGUUUGUCUGAGGAUAUCUUAUGAUUAAGAACAAUCUAAAGCCUUAGCGCUUUGGCCCCUACCUGUACAAUUGGAUGCUAAAGAAGCAGAGACCCCUCGUAGUGUUCUUGAAGAGAUUGGACUGACAUAAAUCUUUUCUGGUGUCUUUACAGUGUCCCAUAUAAGUGUAAAUCUUCACUGCCUCCAUGUAAUGUUAGCUAAUGAUGUUAUGAUGCUAUUUGUCAGUAUUAUUGUUCUGCUAAGCUACUCAUAUUCAGGUCUAUGAGAAAAAAAUCUAUUUAUUAUAAAGUUUAAAAAGGGAGCAAAGUUUUUAAAAUUGGGGAAGGGGAUUUUACAGCAAUUUAAGCCACAUUAGUUUUAAAAUAUUGAGUUAUAGAUUACAAUUUGAAUAAUUAUUUUUUGUGAAUUACUUUGCCAAAACAUAAUGUAUCCAAUACUGUAAUUUGUGUUACAUGCUCAAAACUAUUACAUGUGGUAAUGUGAAAUGUGUUAACUUGGCUUUGUAUAGCCAAAGACUUUUAUUAAGUCCUUUUAAGUUGUCACAGAAGAUUAAACAAGUACCGUAUUUUAUUUAUACCAAAGAAGUAUAUCAAGAUCUCCAAGUCAAACUAUUGUAAGCUGUCAUGGCAGAUUCAUUUCUAAAAAUUCAGUUAUAAAUAUUGUAAAAAUUCCUUGGAAUAAAAUUCUAACUUGAAUUAAUAUUUUGCAAAGGGAAUGUAAAUUGAAGUUAUAUAAAAGUGUUAGUUUUUUUAAGUGUAAGUACUGAAAGUCUUUUCAAAAUGAUAAAUUCAGAUAUUGAAACACACUUGACAAAAAUGAAUUGUUAGAAAAUAUCUACCUGUUACAGUAUUAUCUGCUGUUUGAAAUCAAUUUGAACAGCUAUAUUACUAAUUGUAGCUGCCCAUUAAUAUUCCACCUUAUAUUCUAGAUUUAAUCAUAGUGCAUUGUUCACAUUUUUGGCUGCCAUGGUAUGCAUAUGCACAUUUUAUGAUGUAGUACAUAUCAAAAUACAACUUCUAAAUAUGCAUAGCAUAAGACUGCAUGGAUAUUACAAAGCCAUAUUUUGUUCAUCCUCAUGUGAAUUUUGCUAAAUAUACUGUAAUACGUUUGAAGCAAACUUCGUUCAGAGCAUUUUAUUUCUGAAAGUAGGUUGCUUUACAUAUGCUUGUGUGUACUUUCUCAUAUGUAGACCUCUUCAAUAAUGUAACUACGUACUAAACUGCCUUCUGGUGGGUCAAUUUGCUAUAAUUGAUAUUCUCAAAUAUUGUAAUGCAUUAAUAUGCUACAUCAGAAACAUUAUACUGAGUCCAAUAGAAGCGUUAUGGAAUUAGUAAAGAUUACAUGAAAUACAUACACUGGAGUCUUAUGUUUAACUUAAUGGGAACUGGAAGAAUGAGGUUCACAAGGCAUUAGAAUGGUCCAUUUGCUAUGUGUGAGGUUGAAAUAGGGAGGAAUUACUUAACAUUUUAAAAUGUCAAAAACAUUUUAGUGUUUAAGGUCUCCACUGUUGCCUUGUGUGUUUGUUUAAAAAGCAUUGUGAUGUAAACUGUGUAGUAUCUCAUUGGUUUAGUUGUAAUAAAUGUCCAUUUUUACUCCAGUACUGUGCCUGUGUAUUUAAAAACUUAUGGAAUGUUUGUGUAAGCAGACUACUUUAUACCAAUAUUGCCUUCUUUUAAAGGUAAGUUAUUAAGACAUGUAAAUCAUUGUAGCAAUGAGUUAACAAUUUCUUUAAAAAGUAAUGGGGCUGCUAAAUGUCAGCUCAUUUCUGUUAUGCCAGUGCAUGGAAGUAAUCUAGCCAUUUGCAAUGAUAAAUAUAUGGACCAUAUGUGUAUGAUAAAGCUUUACAUAUUUGGAAAUAAAGCAAUGUUAAACUUACUGAUACCAGUUUCUGAAAACUGAAAUAAAAAUUUGCCAGCUGAGACCCAUGUUAGUUUAUGGUAGCCAAAUAUGACUUUGUAGCAUCUUUUAAAAUUUUAUUAUAAGUUUUUGUGAGCUACAGGUCACUUCAUGAGAUAAUGCAGCAGCUUACCUGAUAAAGGAUUUUAAUGCAGAAGAAUGAUUCAAUCAAGAAAAAAGGUGCAAAUCGCAAAAUCUAUGUCUUAUAAUAAAAUUUGUUAAAUCUUGUAAUACCACGUUCUGAUUUUCUACAUUUUCUAGUUUUAUAGUCAUGAUAGAAUGAAGUAUACUUAUUUAGAAAAAAUGUUGCAAUAUAUGAAAUUGUAGUUGCUUUGUAAGCAGUAGUUUUACUAUAGGUGGAGUUACUAAAUCUGAGCCAAAUUUCACAUCUGCUUCCUUAACAAAAAGGAAUUCAACAUUUUGGGGAUGUGGGUAUUCAUAACUCUUUUGUAAAGUUUCAAAAACUCUUAUUUUUUUGAAGGAGUAGAGUGCUUCAGAAAUGAUUUGAGAAGCAUGCUGCAAACACUGCACAGCUCUAUUAAAAUUAAAAUUAAAGCUGUGAAGUAGAAAAGAUGCCCACUGUAAUCCACAGGUAUGCAAAAAAUUCUAUAAGACAAGGAACUUGAACAGCAUGCCAAACUAGGAAAAAUUCUAAGAUCAACAGCUAUGCAUGGAAGAUGCGCUUUAUAGAGGUAUAUUUAUAUUACCUGUGUUCAGGUCACAGCAGGUGGCAGCACCAAGCUGACUUUGGCUAAUCUUAAAAUGACUGAAUAAAAGAAAGCUUUUCACAAAUUUAAUACUCCACAGCAGUUUGACAACUCCCAUGGCCAGCUCAGUCAGAUAUACCAUCACAUUUAGAAAGCAGCAGGAUGGAAAAAGCAUGCUAAUAUUGGAUGCUGGUGAUUCUAGCAAAGUACUGUUUUUCGUAGGGUGUUUUAUAGUAUUGAGAGUGCUGAAUGGAAAUAUAAUUAAAAUGUAAUUUUGUACAAACGUGAAAGUAUAGUAGACUUAUUUAAUGCACUUAUUUAUAAACAAAGUGUAAGCCAAAGAUUUUUGUUACUCCAGUUGUUUAACUUGCAACACAAUACUUAUUUUAGCUAAAGAAUUAAAAAAAGAACAUCCAUUCUUCAUAGCACGUUAAUUAAACAAGUCCCAGGAAAUGUAUUUCAUUUUUUUCUUAUAAUUUAUUGCAAAACUUUUAAGAUAGGGUAGUGCAUAACAACUUUAUUUUAGGGCACAACAACGUACAGCUGA